rnacentral:rRNA from 1 species
GCAAGUCGAGCGAAGGGAUUGGUGCUUGCACUAAGUGACUGAGCGGCGGACGGGUGAGUAACGCGUGGUCAACCUGCCUUACACAAAGGGAUAACACCGGGAAACUGGUGCUAAUACCAUAUGAAAUAUGUUCACUACAUGGUGGAGAUAUUAAAGGAGUUAAAUCCGGUGUAAGAUGGGCCCGCGUCUGAUUAGCUAGUUGGUGGGGUAAAAGCCUACCAAGGCGACGAUCAGUAGCCGAACUGAGAGGUUGAUC